CCCGCUGAACUUAAGCAUAUCAAUAAGCGGAGGAAAAGAAACUAACAAGGAUUCCCCUAGUAACUGCGAGUGAAGCGGGAAAAGCUCAAAUUUAAAAUCUGGUGGUCUUUGGCUGCCCGAGUUGUAAUCUAGAGAAGUGUUAUCCGCGCUGGACCGUGUACAAGUCUCCUGGAAUGGAGCGUCAUAGAGGGUGAGAAUCCCGUCUUUGACACGGACUACCAGGGCUUUGUGAUGCGCUCUCAAAGAGUCGAGUUGUUUGGGAAUGCAGCUCUAAAUGGGUGGUAAAUUCCAUCUAAAGCUAAAUAUCGGCGAGAGACCGAUAGCGAACAAGUACCGUGAGGGAAAGAUGAAAAGAACUUUGGAAAGAGAGUUAAACAGUACGUGAAAUUGUUGAAAGGGAAACGCUUGAAGUCAGUCGCGUCGGCCGAGACUCAGCCUUGCCUCGGCUUGGUGUAUUUCUUGGCCCGACGGGUCAGCAUCAAUUUUGCCCCUUGGAUAAUGGCUAGGGAAAUGUGACACCUUUAUAGGUGUGUUAUAGUCUCUCGUCGCAUGCAAGGGUCAGGAUUGAGGAACUCAGCAUGCACCUUCGGGUGUCGGGGCUUUUGUCCACGAUACAUGCUUAGGAUGUUGGCGUAAUGGCUUUAAACGACCCGUCUUGAAACACGG
rnacentral:rRNA from 1 species